rnacentral:rRNA from 1 species
UACGGGGGGGGCAAGCGUUGUUCGGAAUUACUGGGCGUAAAGGGCUCGUAGGCGGCCAACUAAGUCAGACGUGAAAUCCCUCGGCUUAACCGGGGAACUGCGUCUGAUACUGGAUGGCUUGAGUUCGGGAGAGGGAUGCGGAAUUCCAGGUGUAGCGGUGAAAUGCGUAGAUAUCUGGAGGAACACCGGUGGCGAAGGCGGUUCUCUGGGCCUUACCUGACGCUGAGGAGCGAAAGCGUGGGGAGCGAACAGG